CCUACGGGAGGCAGCAGUGAGGAAUAUUGGUCAAUGGACGAGAGUCUGAACCAGCCAAGUAGCGUGAAGGAUGACUGCCCUAUGGGUUGUAAACUUCUUUUAUAAAGGAAUAAAACGAGGCACGUGUGCCUUUUUGCAUGUACUUUAUGAAUAAGGAUCGGCUAACUCCGUGCCAGCAGCCGCGGUACUACGGAGGAUCCGAGCGUUAUCCGGAUUUGUUGGGUUUAAAGGGGGCGUAGAUGGGUUGUUAAGUCAGUUGUGAAAGUUUGCGGCUCAACCGUAAAAUUGCAAUUGAUACUGGCAGUCUUGAGUACAGUUGAGGUAGGCGGAAUUCGCGGUGUAGCGGUGAAAUGCUUAGAUAUCACGAAGAACCCCGAUUGCGAAGGCAGCUUACUAAACUGUGACUGACAUUGAUGCUCGAAAGUGUGGGUAUCAAACAGGAUUAGAUACCCCGGUAGUC
rnacentral:rRNA from 1 species